GCACAUAAUGGGCAAAGUCUCAUUGGGAAAGUUUAUCCAGAGAGAAUGUAUACCAUGCUUUUUUUUUUUUUCCUCUGCAGAACUGUCUGAGACUGAAGUAUUUGGAACCCUAAGGAUAAGGCUUUUAAAUCUGUACAACGAACCUGGGGAUCCAUUCACAAUUACUGAAGUACUUGAUGGAUUAAAUACCUUCAGCGGUUGCCUCCGGAAAACAAAACUGUGCACUGAAACUCAGGUAAGACACUUUUCUGAGGUUGUGAAAUCUGCUAUCAUGUCCAUUUGGGAGAACUAAAAUAGGAUCUCAGAAAUGUGAUUUCUUUUCCUGACUAUUCCAUUGCUGAUGGCAGCAAGAGCCUGAUGCCUUAAGUUUCCACCCAGUGUGUUUCCUCUCUGGUGUGUUUUUGAGCAUUUGUCUCUUGAAACUGAAAAGGUGCUUGGGCAACAUGCUUCUAGCAGAUGACAAGUAUCAAAGCCUUUCUGACAUCGGUGCCACCCUGGGGACAGAGGGCUCCUUUAAUUUUAUCGCAUAGCUGUGAAUGAGUACUUCAGAUGAAUGAAAAAGGGAGUGUUAUGUGUAGGAAGCUAUUUGAUUUCCUGGUAGAGAGCAAUUGAAGGCUCUCACUAAGAAUUCCCAGGCUUUCCUCUGAGAACGCUGAGUUUCUCAGGUUUAGAACGUCCUGCAAGAAGAAGCAUGAGACAGGUCUGCACUGAGAAGUGGAAUAAGAUGGAAAAGUCCAUCUCCCUCUGUGGAAAUGGACCUCUCGAUACAGGUUUCUGGGAGCAACAGACCGUUGCUAAGACUGGAAGGGCAUACUGAGUAAAAGGGAAAGCAACUACAACAGGAGAGCCACAAAGCAUGGUGGAAAUCCCAAAGCAAGAAAUAGCCACUAUAGCACUAACUACAAGAUCUGCUGGGCGGUGGUGGCACAUGCCUUUAAUCCCAGCACUCAGGAGGCAGAGGCAGGUGGAUAUUCAUGAGUUCAAGGCCAACUCUGGACUACAGAGCGAGUGCCAGGAUAGGCUCCAAAGCUACACUGUCUCAAAAAAACCAAAACAACAACAACAACAAAAAAUAUCCCCCCAACACAAACAAACAAACAAAAAAACUACAAGAUCCUAUUAGUGUUGUGACUGGGUGCACAGCAAGUACAGUCUCAGUCCUCUGCAGGCUCAUACACAGAUCCAGUAGAAAAGGAGGGGGCACUUUUCAACAGAGAGUAUAAUCUGAGCUCUGUGUCUAUGCAACAGCAGUACUCUGUGAAGCUGGCUUAGAAUUCUCAGCCAAACUCACAAUUGUUUGAUGUUUAUAAUUAUAAACAGGAAUUGAGUUAGCUCUCUAUAGUGGGAAAUUACCAAUAUGGAGUCAGGUAGAAAUAUAAGGGUAUUUAAUAGGGAAAAGCCUUACUUACAGAGCGACCUAGCCAGCCGGCGUGACAGCAGUCUGUACCCAAGCUGAAAAGUGAAACAAAACUGAAACGCAGCCCUGAAACUCUUAUUCUACAUCACCCUGACGACGCCCUCGCAGGCGUGGCUAAGCAGGCAUGGCUACAGGUUUCCCUACAAUUCCCCUUUUAGUCUAAAAGAGGAUUAAAACUUAACAGUGUAAAGUAUCCAAAAUUAACAAUCAUAAAGGUGAAAUAUAAGAAGAUACAAGAAUCUGCUUAUGUCACAUUCUAACUAUCUAUUUUAACUAAAUCCUAAAGUCAUCUGAAAGAGGUGUCCAAGCCUAAACACCUCCUUCCACUCCCAACCAUAAACAAUAGGAAGCUAUCCCUAACUAGGUAUAUACACUAUCCUAAGUGACAACAAUGGGGAAAGGGGGCAUAGCAUUCUCCAAGUUACUUCCUGCUGAAAUAGGACGACGAUAGCCUUGUGGGGUCCUGUAGGAAGAAAAUGUUAGCAUAGUGAAAGCCUUGAAUGGAUUGUAUCCAGUCCAUGUUAGAUGGGAUUUGCUUGAUUGAAGAUCUCGCUUGAAAGCCUUAACUUGGUUGAAGUCAGUACCCGAACCUCUGGCUGGAGUGUCAGUUGAAAUGGAGCAAGUUGGAUCCAGUGCAGUCGAGGAGGUGUGGCCCAUUUUCUUUCAAGGGUGUCCAGGGAUUGCUGUCAGGCAGGUCUUCAUUGGCUAUGUGGGACUCAAACAUAAACAGUUAGCAGAGAAAUGUUUGCUUGUGUAUGCACACAUGCUGGGGAAUGCAACAAUGAGAGCAUAACAAUUAUGAGAGGGUGUACACCUUCAGAGAAAGAUCCAAGAAAAGACAAAGACAGUCCCCAAAUUCUUCUUUUAUUCUGUAUUACAUCAAUUGGCUUCUUGAUACAAUACAGAAACACUAAAGUUUAGUUAAAUAACGUGCUUGGAUUUUAGAGGAGGAAAGCCAAAUCCACCUCUAAAUCCAGCAUUGGUUUAAUUGAAUAGGGGCUAGGAAAUAAAAAGAAAUACAGUUCUCUGAGAGACA
rnacentral:lncRNA from 1 species